UGGUGUUUCUAUUUCGGGCAACGCAAUAGAAGUGAAAAGGGAAUCGGGUGAAAAUCCCGGACAGUCCCGCUGCUGUAAGUUUUGAACCUGUUCCGCAAAUAUGCCACUGAGCCGAUCGGGAAGGCGCGGAAACGGAAAAACAAGUCAGAAGACCUGCCAAAAC
rnacentral:ncRNA from 1 species